AACGAACGCUGGCGGCAUGCCUUACACAUGCAAGUCGAACGGCAGCACGGACUUCGGUCUGGUGGCGAGUGGCGAACGGGUGAGUAACAUAUCGGAACAUACCCUAGAGUGGGGAUAACGUAGCGAAAGUUACGCUAAUACCGCAUACGAUCUAAGGAUGAAAGUGGGGGAUCUUCGGACCUCAUGCUCAUGGAGUGGCCGAUAUCUGAUUAGCUAGUUGGUGAGGUAAAGGCUCACCAAGGCGACGAUCAGUAGCUGGUUUGAGAGAACGACCAGCCACACUGGAACUGAGACACGGUCCAGACUCCUACGGAGGCAGCAGUGGGGAAUUUUGGACAAUGGGCGCAAGCCUGAUCCAGCCAUGCCGCGUGAGUGAUGAAGGCCCUAGGGUUGUAAAGCUCUUUCACCGGUGAAGAUAAAUGACGGUAACCGGAGAAGAAGCCCGGCUAACUUCGUGCCAGCAG
rnacentral:rRNA from 1 species